rnacentral:rRNA from 1 species
GUGAGGAAUAUUGGUCAAUGGGCGCAAGCCUGAACCAGCCAUGCCGCGUGCAGGAAGACGGUCCUAUGGAUUGUAAACUGCUUUUAUUUGGGAAUAAACCUCCUUACGUGUAGGGAGCUGAAGGUACCAAAUGAAUAAGCACCGGCUAACUCCGUGCCAGCAGCCACGGUAAUACGGAGGGUGCAAGCGUUAUCCGGAAUCAUUGGGUUUAAAGGGUCCGCAGGCGGUCAUAUAAGUCAGUGGUGAAAGCCUACAGCUCAACUGUAGAACUGCCAUUGAUACUGUAUGACUUGAAUUCGAUCGAAGUGGGCGGAAUGUGACAUGUAGCGGUGAAAUGCUUAGAUAUGUCACAGAACACCGAUAGCGAAGGCAGCUCACUAGGUCUGGAUUGACGCUCAGGGACGAAAGCGUGGGGAGCAAACAGGAUUAGAAACCCGUGUAGUCC